GGGACUUUUACGCAGCGUAUCCUCAUCAUUCUUCCAAACAUACUUGAUUUGUGCUUCCUCAUACGAAACUGCAAAAGAGAGACGGAGAAAGCGAGAAGCGACUCACGUACACGGCACACGGACGCGAUGCCUUGUAAGCUUUGAGCUUAGCGUAACCGCAGGAAAACGGAGAAGGAAUGUCGAUGCACUAAUAAUUUGAAUCAAAAUGGAUUGCCAUUGGUUUUAUUUGUUUUGUAAUUUUGUAAAGACUUCAUUUGCACUUCAUUAACUUUAAUUGGUUUGCUGGUAGAUCAAUGUUAUUUAAAUUAGA